rnacentral:misc_RNA from 1 species
GAUGAAGAACGUAGCGAAAUGCGAUACGUAAUGUGAAUUGCAGAAUUCAGUGAAUCAUCGAAUCUUUGAACGCAUAUUGCGCUCUUUGGUAUUCCGAAGAGCAUGCUUGUUUGAGUAUCAGUAAACACCUCAAAACUUUUGAUUUUUUUUUAAAAAAAAAAAGGUUUUGGACUUGAGCAAUCCCAACACCAAUCUUUUUUAGAUCGGUGGCGGGUUGCUUGAAAUGCAGGUGCAGCUGGACAUUCUCCUGAGCUAAAAGCAUAUUUAUUUAGUCCCGUCAAACGGAUUAUUACUUUUGCUGCAGCUAAUAUAAAGGGAGUUUGACCGUAUUGGCUGACUGAUGCAGGAUUUCACAAGGGUCGGCAACGAUUCUUGUAAAACUCGAUCUCAAAUCAAGUAAGACUACCCGCUGAACUUAAGCAUAUCAAUAAGCGGAGGA